GUGUCGUGUGUUAAAACUUUUGUUCUUGUUAGUGGCACGAGCAUCGAGUGACACUCUUGUUUCUUGCGCAGAACUUCCGGUUUACCUCCUGAGACGACCAGCGACGAAAUUCAGAAAAA
rnacentral:lncRNA from 1 species